rnacentral:tRNA from 2 species
GGCGCUAUCGUCUAGCCUGGCCUAGGACAUUAGCUUCUCAAGCUAAAGACACGGGUUCAAAUCCCGUUAGCGCUA